rnacentral:rRNA from 1 species
UACGUAGGGUGCAAGCGUUAUCCGGAAUUAUUGGGCGUAAAGAGCUCGUAGGCGGUCUGUCGCGUCUGCUGUGAAAUCUGGGGGCUCAACCCCCCAGCCUGCAGUGGGUACGGGCAGUCUAGAGUGCGGAGGGGAGAUGAGAUCCUGGUGUAGCGGUGGAAUGCGCAGAUAUCAGGAAGAACACCGGUAGCGAAGGCGGAUC